GCCAUGUGGUGGCCUAGUGGUCAUGGUUACAGACUCGUGAUCUGUCGAGGCUCAAAGUCCUCCCUAUGACG